AUACGUAGGGGGCGAGCGUUGUCCGGAAUGAUUGGGCGUAAAGGGCGCGUAGGCGGCGCGGUAAGUCUGGAGUGAAAGUCCUGCUUUCAAGGUGGGAAUUGCUUUGGAUACUGCCGCGCUUGAGUGCAGGAGAGGUUAUCGGAAUUCCCGGUGUAGCGGUGAAAUGCGUAGAGAUCGGGAGGAACACCAGUGGCGAAGGCGGGUAACUGGACUGCAACUGACGCUGAGGCGCGAAAGUGUGGGGAGCAAACAGGAUUAGAUACCCUGGUAGUCCACACUGUAAACGAUGAAUGCUAGGUGUAAGAGGUAUCGACCCCUUUUGUGCCGGAGUCAACACAAUAAGCAUUCCGCCUGGGGAGUACGGCCGCAAGGUUGAAACUCAAAGGAAUUGACGGGG
rnacentral:rRNA from 1 species